AACGUAGGACGCAAGCGUUAUCCGGAGUUACUGGGCGUAAAGGGCGGGUAGGCGGUCUGGUAAGUGAGGUGUGAAAUCUCCCGGCUCAACCGGGAGGGUGCAUCUGAGACUGCCGGACUAGAGAGCAGCAGAGGAGCGUGGAAUUCCGGGUGGAGUAGUGAAAUGCGUAGAGAUCCGGAGGAACACCAGAGGCGAAGGCGGCGCUCUGGGCUGCGACUGACGCUGAACCGCGAAAGCCAGGGGAGCGAACGGG
rnacentral:rRNA from 1 species